UUAUCCGGAUGUACUGGGUGUAAAGGGCGUGUAGGCGGGACUGCAAGUCAGAUGUGAAAACUAUGGGCUUAACCCAUAGCCUGCAUUUGAAACUGUAGUUCUUGAGUGGUGGAGAGGCAAAUGGAAUUCCUAGUGUAGCGGUGAAAUGCGUAGAUAUUAGGAAGAACACCAGUGGCGAAGGCGAUUUGCUGGACACUAACUGACGCUGAGGCGCGAAAGCGUGGGGAGCAAACAGGAUUAGAUACCCUGGUAGUCCACGCCGUAAACGAUGGAUACUAGGUGUGGGGGGUCUGACCCCCUCCGUGCCGCAGUUAACACAAUAAGUAUCCCACCUGGGGAGUACGAUCGCAAGGUUGAAACUCAAAGGAAUUGACGGGGGCCCGCACAAGCGGUGGAGUAUGUGGUUUAAUUC
rnacentral:rRNA from 1 species